rnacentral:rRNA from 1 species
UACGUAGGGUGCAAGCGUUGUCCGGAAUUAUUGGGCGUAAAGAGCUCGUAGGCGGUCUGUCGCGUCGGAUGUGAAAAUCCAGGGCUCAACCCUGGACCUGCAUUCGAUACGGGCAGACUAGAGUUCGGUAGGGGAGACUGGAAUUCCUGGUGUAGCGGUGAAAUGCGCAGAUAUCAGGAGGAACACCGGUGGCGAAGGCGGGUCUCUGGACAGUUCCUGACGCUGAGGCACGAAGGUCAGGGGAGCAAACGGG